rnacentral:rRNA from 1 species
GACGAACGCUGGCGGCGUGCCUAACACAUGCAAGUCGAACGGAAAGGCCCUGCUUUUGUGGGGUGCUCGAGUGGCGAACGGGUGAGUAACACGUGAGUAACCUGCCCUUGACUUUGGGAUAACUUCAGGAAACUGGGGCUAAUACCGGAUAGGAGCUCCUGCUGCAUGGUGGGGGUUGGAAAGUUUCGGCGGUUGGGGAUGGACUCGCGGCUUAUCAGCUUGUUGGUGGGGUAGUGGCUUACCAAGGCUUUGACGGGUAGCCGGCCUGAGAGGGUGACCGGCCACAUUGGGACUGAGAUACGGCCCAGACUCCUACGGGAGGCAGCAGUGGGGAAUAUUGCACAAUGGGCGGAAGCCUGAUGCAGCAACGCCGCGUGCGGGAUGACGGCCUUCGGGUUGUAAACCGCUUUCGCCUGUGACGAAGCGUGAGUGACGGUAAUGGGUAAAGAAGCACCGGCUAACUACGUGCCAGCAGCCGCGGUGAUACGUAGGGUGCGAGCGUUGUCCGGAUUUAUUGGGCGUAAAGGGCUCGUAGGUGGUUGAUCGCGUCGGAAGUGUAAUCUUGGGGCUUAACCCCUGAGCGUGCUUUCGAUACGGGUUGACUUGAGGAAGGUAGGGGAGAAUGGAAUUCCUGGUGGAGCGGUGGAAUGCGCAGAUAUCAGGAGGAACACCAGUGGCGAAGGCGGUUCUCUGGGCCUUUCCUGACGCUGAGGAGCGAAAGCGUGGGGAGCGAACAGGCUUAGAUACCCUGGUAGUCCACGCUGUAAACGGUGGGUACUAGGUGUGGGGUCCAUUCCACGGGUUCCGCGCCGUAGCUAACGCUUUAAGUACCCCGCCUGGGGAGUACGGCCGCAAGGCUAAAACUCAAAGGAAUUGACGGGGCCCCGCACAAGCGGCGGAGCAUGCGGAUUAAUUCGAUGCAACGCGUAGAACCUUACCUGGGUUUGACAUGGAUCGGGAGUGCUCAGAGAUGGGUGUGCCUCUUUUGGGGUCGGUUCACAGGUGGUGCAUGGCUGUCGUCAGCUCGUGUCGUGAGAUGUUGGGUUAAGUCCCGCAACGAGCGCAACCCUUGUUCACUGUUGCCAGCACGUUAUGGUGGGGACUCAGUGGAGACCGCCGGGGUCAACUCGGAGGAAGGUGGGGAUGACGUCAAGUCAUCAUGCCCCUUAUGUCCAGGGCUUCACGCAUGCUACAAUGGCUGGUACAGAGAGUGGCGAGCCUGUGAGGGUGAGCGAAUCUCGGAAAGCCGGUCUCAGUUCGGAUUGGGGUCUGCAACUCGACCUCAUGAAGUCGGAGUCGCUAGUAAUCGCAGAUCAGCAACGCUGCGGUGAAUACGUUCCCGGGGCU